UACGUAGGGCGCAAGCGUUGUCCGGAAUUACUGGGCGUAAAGCGUGCGCAGGCGGUUCGUCGUGUCCGAUGUGAAAGCCCCGGGCUCAACCUGGGAAUGGCAUUGGAAACUGGCGGACUCGAGUGUGGCAGAGGGGGGUGGAAUUCCGCGUGUAGCAGUGAAAUGCGUAGAGAUGCGGAGGAACACCGAUGGCGAAGGCAGCCCCCUGGGCUAACACUGACGCUCAGGCACGAAAGCGUGGGGAGCAAACAGG
rnacentral:rRNA from 1 species